UCGGCAUCAUCAUGAUCAUCACUACCAUCAUAUAUUAAUAUCACAAACCGCUUACUUUUACGAAAAUAACUUGACGUUUUGAAAUUAAAAAAAAAAAAUCUAUACGGAUAUAAAUAUAUAUAUAUAUAUCAAAUAUACCUCUAUCUCAAGUUAAAAUACAACAGAAAGAUCAACAAAACAAAAUUGAUAUCUAUUAUUAAUUAAAAAAAUAAACAAUUUCAAAAAGUAACGACCGUUUGGAACAUGGAAAAUGUCAGUGAAAUAUCGUCUGCUAACAGCAGUAACAUGGAGUACGUAUGGACAGCUCGUGAAAGUUACGUUGUUGGUGGUUACUUUAUUAUAACAGGACUGAUAGGAGUUUUCGGAAAUGGCAUUGUACUAUCCAUGUUCUCUAUAUACAAAGCAUUGAGAACGCCGACCAAUACGUUGUUUAUUAAUCUGGCUGUUAAUGACAUUGGGAUGUGUCUUUGUCUCUUCCCAAUUGCAGGGAUAUCAAGUUUUAAACGAGUGUGGAUUUUUGGUACAACUGGUUGUCAGUGGUAUGGCUUCACAGGGAUGUUGUUUGGACUAGCAAAUAUUGGCUUUCUCACAGCUAUCAGUGUAGAUCGAUAUUUGAUCACUUGUAAAUAUUAUAUUUACUGCCACUUGAAACACUUUCACUAUCACUUAAUUGCUGCCUGUGUAUGGAUCAGUGCUGCCGUAUGGGCAUUCUUUCCACUGUCUGGAUGGGGCAGAUAUGCCGAAGAAGCCGGUGGAAUAGCAUGCGCAGUGGACUGGGAGUCACGUGACCACAGUAUGACUACCUACAUAACAACCAUAUUCGUCGUUUGUUUUCUAAUUCCGCUCCUAAUCAUCUCUGUCUGUUACGCCCGGGUCUGUUUGUUCAUCCGAAAAUUAGGACACGGCACGCAGGAGAACCCCGAGUGGACUAAUCAAAAAGAUGUAACAAAGAUGUGUGCCAUAGCCAUAAUAUGUUUCAUAAUCGCAUGGAUGCCAUACGCUGUGAUUUGUCUCUGGUCAAUUUACGGCCAUCCUGACUACAUACCAAAUUCUGUUCAAAUACUGCCGUCCUUGUUUGCCAAGUCAUCAGCAUCUUACAACCCAUUAAUUUAUGUUGCGCUUAACCGACGUUUCAGGUUAGCCAUUGUCAAGAUGUUUCGGUGUAAUAACGAUCAGCGCCCUCUGGAGGAGGAACUGCGAAUGAAAAAUUUGAUGUGCUAAACUACUUACAUGUCAUUUUGGGCUAUCAGAUCACAAUAUGACUGAUGAUCUAUGGGUAUCAAAUAUGUUCCCCUUUCACAGUCUUCAAUAUGGCUCAUUCUGGCUGUGAAUCCACAGGAAAGACGAUAUGUGUUCGUGAUUUUAUCUUUUUUUCUAGAAUCUAUGGCGUUCGUUGGCAAUGUCCGUUUUUAUUGCUCGUGGGACAACAAGUACAGUAGUAGCAACAACAGCAACAACAAGUAAAAUGAAAUAAAGCUAUGGAAACAUUUAUAAGAAUUUAGAAACUUCGAGAGAACGUGAAAUGGUUCGUUUUAAACGGUGGAACUCGAUAUAGAUAAAAAUUAUCAAUAAUAGCAUGUAUGAUUUCGACUUUUCUAUUCUGGAGAUUUUUUAACCAGACAUUUACACGCUGUUAUUUAUAGCUUCAACUGCUUCAAGUUCCACCGCUAAAAACAAGCUAUGGAGAGUUUUAAUGGAGACAAAGAAAUAAUCUCUUUUUUUUUUAACAAAGCUGUUAAUUAUCUUAAUGCUUAAUCUUUCAAAAAAAUAUAAACCACACAACUACAACAAUAGCAACAAGAACAAGAACAACAACAACAAUGAUAUCAAGAAUAAAACAGAAUCAUCGGGAACGAUUUUUAUUUUCUCUAUCUGCUCUUUAUCUUUGUGAAAUAACAGUGUUUUAAAUUUUCCACUGAUCUUUAUCGCUAAUUUUCCUUUUAAUAUAUUCGUUUAUUCUGUGUAAAAAGUUUUGUAUC
rnacentral:misc_RNA from 1 species